AUUGAACGCUGGCGGCAUGCUUUACACAUGCAAGUCGAGCGGCAGCGCGGGGGCAACCCUGGCGGCGAGCGGCGGACGGGUGAGUAAUGCAUCGGAACGUAUCCCGUAGUGGGGGACAACCCAGCGAAAGCUGGGCUAAUACCGCAUAUGCUCUACGGAGGAAAGUGGGGGACCCGCAAGGGCCUCACGCUAUGGGAGCGGCCGAUGUCCGAUUAGCUAGUUGGUGGGGUAAAGGCCUACCAAGGCGACGAUCGGUAGCUGGUCUGAGAGGAUGAUCAGCCACACUGGGACUGAGACACGGCCCAGACUCCUACGGGAGGCAGCAGUGGGGAA
rnacentral:rRNA from 1 species